UGUCCUCAACUGAACUUUCAAGAAUUCAUAGGGAUGAGAGGUUUAAAGGUGGGAGCUCAUAGCCAAACACUUCUUGUUAUACUCUAGCUUCUCUAGGCCUAUCAAUACUCUUAUGCCUUUACACAGGUCGCAAUGCUCAUCAAGCAACAAAUACCUUCACCCAACUCUCACAUUUAUUCACACGCACACACACAAGGUGAAUUCUUACAAAUGGGCACAUGAUCUCAAUCAUUUGGCUUGGUGAGUGAAAUUGGUCUAAUGUGAAGCAAAGGGUUUUCAAAUGCAUAUUUUGUGGUGACUCACACUCAAAAAUAGGAGCAAGAACAUUAUGCAAAAUUUAUCUAAGAAAAN
rnacentral:lncRNA from 1 species